rnacentral:misc_RNA from 1 species
AUUUUCCCAACAUCUGAAAUGAUAAUUUUAAGGUCAUCCAUCCAUGAUUGAACUGAAUGAAAUAUGGUAAAACACAAAUGUAACGGCAGAACAGAACAACUGAUCCACCAAGAGGGUGGGAUGCACUUAGUGGAACAUCUUACAUCCGCAACCUUUUCUCUUAUGUGUAGGGGCGGAGCUAGAAAUGAACCUGAAGUCACACUAUAUUAUCACCGGCUAAUGAACACACCGUCUGCCUUUGCUUUGUAGUCUAACAACUAGCUCGUAUUCAUCCUUGACAUGUAGUCUUGAUCUUCAUUUCUCCUAUCCAGAUCUUUCCCAUCUUGCUACAGCUUUAAAAGGAUCUCUUCACUAUCCCCGUCUUGGUGAUUUAUCGUUGAGAUACAAGCUAGCAAUAUCUACAGCCAUAAAAUUGUCCGGUUGAUGAGAAUUCUCAUCAAGAUGGAGUGGUGGCUAAUUCCUCCUUGUCACCAUUAAGCCUGAAGAAAUGGAUGAUGUAGCAGCUGAACAGCUGUCAAACGGCGACUUGGAUUCCUCUGCAGGCAAAGUUUCAAAAAACUCUUUGCAUCAUCUGAGAGGUUCCUGGGAAUUUCAGGACUGUCUUUCCCAUCUGCCUGUUUGAAUAAUGCAGCAGUUGCUCCUUCAUAUGGUCGUUUAGCUGUUGCCAUCUCAACAAUAGUACAACCUAGGCUCCAAAUAUCUACAGCAACACUGGAACCUCCUGCAUCUUUUACUACCUCUGGAGCCAUCCAAUAUGGACUUCCUUUGAAAGAAUCCAUCAAACAACACGAGUUUAUAUGUUUAGCCAUUCCAAAGUCUGCAAGCUUGAUUUCACCCUUAGCAUUUACUAGUAUAUUUGCUCCUUUAAUAUCCCUGUGUGCUAUGUUUCUCUUAUGCAAGAAGACUAAUCCGGAGAGAAUUUUUCGAGUGUAACUUUUGAUAAUUUGUUCUUCAAAAGGACCAUAUUCUUGAAGUAGUUUGAGAAUUGAACCUCCUGGAACAUACUCUAAGUAGAGUGACAAUUUAUCUCCUCUCAAUUCACUUCCAUAGUACUGCACAAUGUUUGGAUGUGAGAUUUGACUGAGCAAUGUGAUCUCCUGGUUUAGCUGCUUGAGACGUUCUUUCGAUGUUGUGUCAUUAAAAAUGAUUCUUACUUCCUUUAUAGCACACAUUUGUCCAUUAUCACUAUUAAAUCCAGCAUAAACAUUUCCAAAUGUCCCUUUUGCUAACAAUUUCCCUUUCUUCCAUUGCCUUGUUCUAUUAUUAAUAGAAGAAUUUG